AGUAGCUGGUCUGAGAGGACGAUCAGCCACACUGGGACUGAGACAGGGCCCAGACUCCUACGGGAGGCAGCCAGUGGGGAAUAUUCCGCAAUGGGCGAUAGCCUGACGGAGCAAGAACGCGUGAGAGGAGGAGGCUCUUGGGUUGUAAACCUCAUUUCUCCGGAAAGACGCUAUGACGGUACCUGAGGAAUCAGCCUCGGCUAACUCCGUGCCAGCAGCCCCGGUAAUACGGAGGAGGCAAGCGUUAUCCGGAAUAUUUGGGCGUAAAGCGUCCGCAGGUGGCGAUUCAAGUCUGCUGUCAAAGCACGGGGCUUAACUCCGUUAAGGCAGUGGAAACUGAAUAGCUAGAGUGCCGUAGGGGGUAGAGGGAAUUCCCGGGUGUAGCGGUGAAAUGCGUAGAGAUCGGGAAGAACAUCGGUGGCGAAAGCGCUCUACUGGACGGCAACUGACACUCAGGGACGAAAGCUAGGGGAGCGAAUGGGAUUAGAUACCCCAGUAGUCCUAGCUGUAAACGAUGGAUACUAGGUGUAGCUUGUAUCGACCCGAGCUGUGCCGGAGCUAACGCGUUAAGUAUCCCGCCUGGGGAGUACGCACGCAAGUGUGAAACUCAAAGGAAUUGACGGGGGCCCGCACAAGCGGUGGAGUAUGUGGUUUAAUUCGAUGCAACGCGAAGAACCUUACCAGGGCUUGACAUGUCCGGAAUCCCGGUGAAAGCUGGGAGUGCCUUCGGGAGCCGGAACACAGGUGGUGCAUGGCUGUCGUCAGCUCGUGUCGUGAGAUGUUGGGUUAAGUCCCGCAACGAGCGCAACCCUCGUCUUUAGUUGCCAGCAUUAAGUUGGGCACUCUAGAGAGACUGCCGGUGACAAACCGGAGGAAGGUGGGGAUGACGUCAAGUCAGCAUGCCCCUUACGCUCUGGGCGACACACGUACUACAAUGGUCGGGACAGAGGGCAGCGAACCUGCGAAGGCAAGCUAAUCCCAGCAAACUCGGCCUCAGUUCAGAUCGCAGGCUGCAACUCGCCUGCGUGAAGGAGGAAUCGCUAGUAAUCGCCGGUCAGAAUACGGCGGUGAAUCCGUUCCCGGGCCUUGUACACACCGCCCGUCACACCAUGGAAGCUGGCCACGCCCGAAGUCGUUACCCUAACCUUUC
rnacentral:rRNA from 1 species